CAGCAGCCGCGGGAAUACGGAGGGAGCUAGCGUUGUUCGGAAUUACUGGGCGUAAAGCGCGCGUAGGCGGUUACUCAAGUCAGAGGUGAAAGCCCGGGGCUCAACCCCGGAACUGCCUUUGAAACUAGGUGACUAGAAUCUUGGAGAGGUCAGUGGAAUUCCGAGUGUAGAGGUGAAAUUCGUAGAUAUUCGGAAGAACACCAGUGGCGAAGGCGACUGACUGGACAAGUAUUGACGCUGAGGUGCGAAAGCGUGGGGAGCAAACAGGAUUAGAUACCCGUGUAGUCCCUGUCUCUUAUAA
rnacentral:rRNA from 1 species